CGGAGCAGCGAAGGCGCCGGCGGGGAGCGCGCAGCAGCGCGGCGGUGGACGGCAGGAACGACGGGAUCCCUGCGGCCCCGCUGUGGCCCGUUCCCCGCCGCCAAUGCCGCCGGAUCGGGGCCUCGCAGCGCCGGGCCGCCGGCAGCCCCGCCCCGUCCGUCCCCUUAAAGGGCCCGCGGGUGCCUUGCGCGGCUUUGCCAGUGCUCGCCUCGCGCCGAUGGCGCCGCUCUCGGCUGCGGCGCUGCUUCCCUUCUGGUCGCCUCUCGUUUCCUCCCUCCGUUCCCUUUCGUUUCCGGGGUCACAGCCGCCGCUCGGGAAGCAGCCCCAUAGCGGGGCUCGGCAGGGACAGCCGGCCGCCGAGCUCCCCGCAGGCCGCGCCGCCCCGCCGUCCCCAUGGCCAGCAACCCCCAGCCGCAGCCCCCGCCGCCGCCGCCCCCUCCGCCGCCUCCGCAGCAACAGCCGCCGUUGCCGGGUGCCGGGGCCGGCGCUGGGAGCGGUGCGACGGAGCCGGAGCUGGUCUCCAUGAUCGUCAGUCACCUCAAGAGCCAGGGGCUCUUCGACCAGUUUCGCCGAGACUGCUUGGCCGACGUGGAUACCAAGCCCGCCUAUCAGAAUUUGAGACAGCGCGUUGAUAACUUUGUUUGCAACCAUUUGGCCACUCAUACCUGGAGCCCUCAUCUCAACAAGAACCAGCUGAGAAAUAACAUUAGGCAGCAGGUUCUCAAGUCUGGAAUGCUGGAAGCUGGAGUGGACAGAAUUAUUUCUCAGGUGGUGGAUCCAAAGAUCAACCACACAUUCAGACCUCAGGUGGAAAAAGCUGUCCAUGAAUUUUUAGCAACACUGAAUCACAAAGAAGAGGCAGGCCCCAGUACAGCUCCAAGUGAGGAGAAAACGGACACGUCUGUUGUAGUGCAAGGUGUAUCUACUACAACUCCUAGUGGCAAUGUAGCUAGUGAUGCAAUGUCCAUUUUGGAAACAAUAACUUCUCUGAACCAAGAAGCAAGUGCUGCCAGGGCUUCAACAGAAAACUCAAGUUCCAAGAACAAUGACAAAGCUGCAAAAAGACUGUUAUCUCAGCAGAGUUUUGAUGGUAGCACUGAGAAAAACAUGGAAGACUUAACAGAUAAAGAGAAAACAAUUUCUGAUCCUUCUGGAGAAGGAGCCGAAAUGUUUGUAAAGUGUGAAGAUUCAAAUGAGCUUCCUUGCCAAAGUGAAGAAAUAAAAAAUUCAGCAAAGGAUACCAGUAGUUCAUCAGUUACAAUUAAAGAUACAAGUAAAGAAAUACAACAGGAUAGUGAAGAUCAGAAGAAUAAAUUAGUAGAUAAAUGUGAAAAGAAACCGGAAGGUGAUAGAAGAAAAGAAAAGAAAGAAAAACUUGAUAAGAAGAAAAGUGAUGAUACUGCUAAGUCAAAAGAAGAGAAACACGUGAAAGAGUCAGAACCAGUGAAACAGUUGGUUCCAGAAAAAAAUAGCAAUAAACAUAAAGCAUCUGAAAGUACUAAAGAAGAACAUACAUCGAUAGAUUCAGAUACGGAUGUACUCAGUGACAUCACUGUCAGCUCUGUCCAUACUAGUGACCUUUCUUCCUUUGAAGAGGAAAGCGAAGAAGAACCUGUGAUUUCUGACAGUACUGAAGAGGGGGAGAUCACAUCAGAUGAUGAAGAGGAGAAGAACAAUAAAAAUAAGACAAAGCCUCAUACUAAUGAACUGAGUGAUGGGAGAGCCAAGCCGGUUCGUCAUGCAUAUGUUCGUAAGCCUUUUUUGUACUCCAAAUACUUCAGCGAUUCUGAUGAUGAACGAACUGUAGAGCAACGUCGCCAGUCCAUUGCCAAAGAAAAAGAAGAGAGACUCUUAAGAAGACGAAUGAAUAGAGAGAGACUUGAAGAGAAACGUAAACAGAAAACUGCAGAAAAAACAAAGUCCCUGAAAAGUGGAAGUCAAAAUGCUAAAGGAAAAAGUGGCUUGAACUUGGAAGAACAAUCAACAAAAAGUCUCGAGUCAAAAGCUACUGGUACCAGCAUUAAGGAUGUGCUUAAAGAACAGAAAUUCUUAGAAAAAAAAGUAGCCCUGAGCAGAAAAAGAAAAAGAGAUUCAAGGCAUGUUGAAGAUAGUUGUAAAAAGAAAUUCGAGCCAUCUGAAGAUGAUUCUAAGGAAGUGCAAAAGACAAAUGAGACUUCUGAAAAAAGUUCUUCAAAAGAAUUAAAGCAUAACCUUAUCAAAACGGAAACCUCUAAACCACUUAGAAGACUGUCAGAAUCAGUACAUUCAGCUGAGGAAAACAAAACUGAUUCUAAAGUGGAAAAAGAACAUAAAAGAAAAAUCUCCACCUCUCUUUAUACUGAAGGAACCCAACAGGACAUUGAAACAAAGGACCCAAAAAGACAACUGGAAAGAGCAGAAGCCAAUACAGAUGAGCUACAGAAGCAGAAAACUGUAUUUAAAAAUGAAAAACAUCCCAAAAAAGAUAGUGACACAGAAAUGCAACAUAUGAGAAAUGCUGCCAGAAAAGAAGCCAAGUCUUACAGAGAUAGAAAUGAAAAGGAAGUAACAGCAUUAGAGGAUAAACUUUCUUUAAAGCACAAAUGCAAAGGAGAUAGUAUUCAUAAAUCAGUUGAAGAUGUUGAACUCCAUUCUUCUGAGAAAAAUUUGAAAGGAGAGGAUGGUGCUCAGAAACAUAAUCAACAAGUCAAGAUUUCAUCAGAUGACAAAUCUGAACGAAAAAGUAAACACCGAAGCGAACGGAAAAUAUCAGUAACUGGAAAAGAUGGAAAAGGUAUUUCUGAUUCCACUUUAAAAGCUGAGGAGUUACUUCGUAAGGAAAAUAAAAAAGACAGGCAUCUCUCAACAGAAAAAUCAAGAGCAGAAUACAAGUCCAAAAGGUCUCUGAGUGAUUCUAGGCCACAGAAGGAUUCUGUAAGUGCCUCAAAGCAACUUGCUUCUGCAUCGCACAAGAGAAGUGAAAGUUACUCAGAAGAAAAACAUGAAUUGAAAUCAACUAACUCUGACAGUAACUUGAAACAAGAAGAUGGUGUUCACAGAGACAGACGAAGAUCUAAGAGCCUUGCAGAAGACAAAAUGUUAUUGAAGUCGAAGUCAAAGAGUCAUAGUAAACAACUGAAAGCAUCUGAGACAGAAUUACAGGAGAAUGUAAUGAAACAAGAUACUGGUCAGAAACUGGACAAAGAUAAGAACAUGGAAGAGAAUGAUGCGGAUAAACAACACAAUUCCAAAAAUGAAGAUAAAAUAUCUGAAGGGAGUGGUGCUGAUUUUGAGCUUGAGAGUGGAAUGCAAUCAACUCAGGGAUCACAAAAAGACUCCAGUCACAGAGUUAAGUUACACUCUGGAGAAAGAGGAUCUGUAAAAGAGAAAUGUAGAGGUGAUAAAGAUUUAAGUAACUCCAAACUAGAAAGAAAGUUCUCUGCUGAAGGUCACAAAAGCAGAAGCAUAAAGCACAGUAACAAGGAAAUAAAGAAAAAAGAAGCAUGUGCCAAAGUGGAGGAUAAAGAUAUAAAGGAAAUGGAUGGUGGACAUGAAAAAGUAAUGGGUGUCACAGUGGCAGUGGAUAAAAAACAGAGUAAAAAGGUAUCCUGUGAAAACAGAAAAGGCAGUGUAUCAAACCACAAUUUGCCCGGAGAAGAAAAGCAAUCAGUUGGUGUAACUAUAAGCAGCUCUCUUCCAGUCCCUCAAAAAUCAAAUAUGAAUAGUGAUGACUUGUGUUCUGGUCAUGAGGGAGAGAUGAUGGAACUUGAUUCGGAUGAAACAAAAGUACAAGAAGAAUCCAUAAUGGAAGGAAAAAGUAUUCUAAAUUCAGUCCAAGCCACAGAUGCCAAACGCAUGGUAAAAGAAAAAAUCUCUUCUGCAAGUAAGGAGUUAAAACACAGCUUGGCAGAUCUAGAAGCUUCUGAAUCAAAGCUUGUGGCUGCAGUUGAAAAAGCGAAUAAACAAGAAGAUAUCCCCAAUAAGCAAGUUGGUGCCUUAGAUGCUUUAUCCAAACAAACAUCAAUAGACCAAGGACUCUGUAAAGAAGGAGCUUAUAAAGUGGGUGCUGUAUCUGGAAAAAGUCAUAGAGUCUUACUGAAUGCUCCCAGUAAGGAUCGAACUUCAGAAGACAGCAGAAAACCAAAGAAUUUUAAAACUGUGAUAAACUCUAAUUCAGAUAAUGUUUCAGUAGCAAUUAAGUCUCCCAGAGGAGAUGCUGCUGAUCGAAAGUCCAUGGGUAUGGAUAUCUCUGACUUUACACAUUCUUUGAAUAGUAUGUCUAGUACAUCUAAAGAGGAAUGUUCAGAUGGGACUUCUUUGUUUGAAGAUGGUGCAGCUUCAAAGAAUGAUGCAACACAGGUUGUAUACAUGGAACAAGAAGAUAGUGUAGUGUUGAAUUCUGUUAUGGAAGGUGGUGAUGACAACACUAAGACAAACAAUACAGGAAAAGAUAAUGAGGCACCCCAUCCUGAUGAGCAAGCAAUGGAGAACAGUGCAGCUGGCUCACCUAUUCAAGAUUAUGACAAAACAUCAAAAUUUGAAAGCAGUCCAAGAAGUGAGGUGAAAAUAAAAGAGGAAAGCUUGAAGUCUGGUGUGACUGAAGACUGUGGACAUGUACCAACAGGAGAACUUCUAAAAAAACUGAAAAAGAAAGGAAAAGAGCGAUUGAAUACAGAUUCCACAAAGGGAGAAAGAAGCAAAAUUAUGGAUAAUGUGAAACAGAAUGAGACACGUGAUACUUGUGUGAUACAAUCUUCCUCUGUAUUAGCAUCUAAAGGAAAUCCUGAAGAAAUAGUCAAAGACUCUGUUCCAGCUACUGGGCAGGAAGGGAAUAGUAGCGUAGAAGAUAAAAAUGAAAGCAGUCCUGUAGGUACCAGUGCAGGAAGCAGUAAAUUUAGUUUGUUGUACAGCAGUGUGCAAACAAUUCCAGCCACUGUGAUAGGUACUAGCACAGAAAAGAUUGAGAGCACUGUAAUGGCCUCUAGUACAGGAGAAGAAAGAGCUGAAGGUGCAUCAUGUUCUGAAAAGGGAAGUGAUGCUACAACCACUUGCUCAGAAGAAGAAAGUGAGAUGGCAUUAAUCUGCACAAGCAUAGAAGCUGAUGAAGGUUUCACAUCAGGCGUAUGGGUAAAAAGUGGUGAGGGGAAUAGUUUAAUUACAGGAACAGAUAUUGGUGAGUGUACAGUUACAGCAGCAGAAGAAGGUGGUGGCAGUGUUGUUACUGAAGGAUUAGCAGAAAGUGAAAGCUUUCUAACAAGUACAAAAGAAGAAAAUGACGACUGCACUGUGGUUGAUGCAGAAGAAAGUGGUAAGGAUUCAGUCAAUGAAAGUGGAGUAGAAGGUAGUGUGAAUAGUGCUGGAGCAGAAGAAAAAGAUGAUGCUGUAACUAGUGCGGGCUCUGAAGAGAAGCGAAAGACCUUGAUUCGUGGAGGUGCAGGCAAAUUAGAAAGUUCUGUGUCCUGCUUAGGUGAAGUGGAGAGUGAUGGUGCUGUAACUAGUGCAGGUACAGAAUCAGGUGAAGGAUCAACAAGUGGUGACAGUUCAGGUGAAUUUAGGGGCAAUAUGAGAGCUGGCCAAGUAAAAGAACACGAAAGUACAGUGACUUGUACAGGUGCAGAAGAAAGAGAUCGUAACGUCAUAAUGUGUUCUGUAACUGGUACAGAUGCCCAGGGAGAAGGUUCUGUAAGUGGGGCGUGUAUUGCAGUGGUCACAAAUGACAAUGCCGCAACUGGAACUACUGGUGACAAAUGUGAGGAUGCUAUAAAUGGUGAAAGUACAGUGACCAGCACAGGCAUAACUCCAGAAGAUGAUGCUGAAAUUUCAGUUGUCUGUACAGGACUAGAAGACAGCAAUGAAGGUUUUGCCGUUUGUUUAGAUACUGAAAAAUGUGAAAGUGCAAUGGACAGCACAGGGACAAAGGAGGAAGCUAGUAUCACGAUAGUCAGCAUUGGUCCCUGUGAUGAUGAAGAUUUUGUGACUAGCACAGGCUCAAAAGAAGAGGAUGAAGAAGGUGAGGAUAUUGUGACCAGUACUGGAAGGGGAAAUGAAGAAAUUGAGCAUGCUUCUACUUGUACAGGAUCGGAAGGUGAAAAUACACUAAUCUGUAUAGGUGCAGAAGAAGGUGAAAGUUCCAUUAUCUGCAUAGUUGCUGAACAAAUGGAAGCUGAGUCAGGACCGCCUGGCACGAAUAUAAAUAAGCUUGCCAUUGACAGCAUGACAGAUGCAGAGAAAGAAGCUAAUUGUGGCACAGACUGCAAGAGUGCUAAAGGGAUAGCUGAAAGCAGUGUAACCAGUGCAAGUGCUGAUGAUGAGGAUGCUGUGGCUGCAUGCAUAGAAGAACACGAAGGUACCUUGAUUCCCUUAGAUGCUGAGGACUCUGAAGGUCCCAUGACUAGCGCUAUGACUCUGCAAGAUAGAGAUCAGCCCGGUGCUGAAGAGCAUGAGAAUGCCAUGACCUUUGGCAGCAGAGAACAUGAUGUCUCUAUAAGUAGUGCCAUUCCAAAGGAAGAUGAGAAUUCUCUUAUUUCUGCUGACAGUGAGGAAAAAAUUAAAGGAGAUAUCAUCUCUACCAGUACAGUAGAAGGAAGUGAUGCUCCCUUAUAUUCAGCUAUAGAUGAUGAGGAAGGUUCACUUACUUUUGCAAGAGCAAAUGAAAGUGGGGAAAAUUCUAUGAUCUCAGUUGAUGCUGAAGGCACAGAGGAGCCCAUGCCCAGCACAGCUACAGAAUUUAAAGAGAGUGUGCUUUCUUUUAGCAGUAAACAGGACAAAGAUGAAUGCACCAUGAUUUCCACUAGUAUUGUAGAAGAAUUUGAAGCUCCUAUGUCUAGUGCCACUAUUGAAUAUGAUGGUCAGCUCCCCUCUGUGAAAACGAAAAAAAUAAAUGAAAGUACCGUGGUUUCUAUAGGUACAGAAAUAUAUGAUAUUCCCAUGCCCAGUGCAUCCAGUGCAGGAGAUGAUGAAAGUCACACGACUGCUAGCAAUAGAGAAGAAAAAGAUGAGUGUGCUAUGAUUUCCACAAGUGUUGUGGAAGAACAAGUAAUCCUGAUGUCAGGUGAAGUCACAGAGGAGACAAUUCAACAUAUCUCAGAAACGGAGUCUAAAAAUGAAACUGUAAUGAUCUCUACAAGUACAGCAGAAUGUUUUGAAACUCCUAUGCCUAGUGCAGCUGUACAAGAUGAAAAUAAACUCACUACUUCGGAAACAGAAGGGAGAUAUGAAGCUGCUGUGAUUACCACAAGUAUGACAGAAGAAUGUGAAAUAGUCCUGAUAAGUGCAGCACCGCAAGCUGAGGGUCAGCUCCUUGUAGCAGAAGGAGAUGAAGAGGAUAUCUCUCCAAAUGCAUCAGAAGAAUGUAAGAUUGUGGAGACCACAGCUUCUGUAGAUGAACAGUUUGAACUAGCUGCUUUCAAUACAGAUGCAAGAGGCGAAGGUUCUGUGAUUUUUGUGGGAGAAUGUGGAGGUCCUGUUCUGAGGGUUGCCACCAACAGUGAAGAACAGGAUGAUGCUUCAAGUAUAGGAGAUAAAGAAGAAGGGGCAGUGAUUGCUCUGAGCACAAUGGAAGAAUGUGAUAGUCUCUUCACAUUUACUGUCAUAGAAGAAAGUCAACUUGAUGCUGAGAGUUCAGAAGUAAAAGACAAAAAUGAGGAAGUUUUUAAUACUGCUAACCAAAUUGAAUGCAUCCUAUCAACUGCGGGCCCAGAAAAAAGCAGUAAUUCUUUGCUUGUCAUUGAUCAAGAGAAUGAGACCCAUGAAAGUGUUGUGAGGGGAGCAUCAGAAGCAUCUCAGAUGACUGUAGACAGUGAAAUCACAGAAGCAGAUGAAAAUUCAGUCAAUAUAAUGAACGUAGAUGAAGCCCUUUGUGUGGAGAUUAGUACAGAGUCUGCUCUGAGCCCAAGUCCUUCCUCAGAGGUAAAUGAGGAUGAUGAGCAAGCUGAAGGUGUGUUGCAUGAGGAUGUUACAUCAGAACUCUCUUGCAUCAUUUCAGAAGCAUCAGUAGAGAGCGAAACAUUAAGGGGUAUAAACUGUAACUCAAAUGUACUUUUAGAAAAUGAGUUUUCUGAAAUAAGGACUCCACCGCCAGGGGAACAGACUCCUUCUUUAGUUUCAGCAAGUGAAUUAACUGUAAAUAACCACAGUGAAGAGACCAUAGAAGCAGAAUUGGAGGAGGAAAGUGACUGUCCUGUAUUGCACGUGGAAGAGCUACGUGGCAGCGAUGGUAAAAUGAACUCGGUCAAAAUAGAUGAUACAGGGAUUGAAGUUACUUUUCAGAAAAAUAGUAAUACCUUGAAUUCAGGCAAUAAUGGAGCUUUACCAAAGUUGGCAGAAGAACCAGAAUUUGAAACUAACUUGAGAACUGAAGAGCCACCACGGCCUGAAAAUCCAAAAAGUGAAGAAGUAUGUGUGGAUCUUCGUAUUAAAGAACUACAAAAAGAUUCACUGCAGAAGAAUAGUGCUAAAGAUGGAGAAACUAUUCACGUGGAAAACCUGGACAGCCAAAUAACUGAGGAGCAUCAAUCUAGAGUAACAGAAUGUACAACUUCAGGAAUGAAGGAUGAAGAAAAAAGCAGCCAGCUGAUAGCUCAGGAUGUAGGAAAGGAUGAUGAUCCAAGUCAGUGUUCCAGAACAAAACUUAGUAAUAUCAAGGAAAUAACUCCAUGUGAUGCAGCAGAAGUCUCCAAAGAAGUUGCUGUAACACAUACACCUCCUGCAGGUGCUGUGGAAGAAAAAGAUGAAUUUACUGCUGAGCAGGAAACGUUUGAAAAGACAAAACAGAGCCUAGAAUCAAAUGAAAAUUCUGUAGAGGAUAAUCAGCCUGUGAUAAUAAAACGGAAAAGAGGAAGGCCUCGCAAACACCCUGUUGAAGCUGUACAGCCUGGUGGUGGUGGGGAGUCAAAAGCUGAUAUGAGCACUGGCAAUCUGCAAUUUCCUACCUCUGCAAGUAGAGGGAAAAGUCCUCAAAGAGGUACAGACAUAUCUAAUAAGAAGGACACGGCAAGUGAAGAUGAAGCUGGGAAAGCAGAGAUGACCGUGCGUAAAAGGGGAAGAAAACCCAGGCGUUCUCUAGUUCAAGCAGAGGAAACUGGGCUUUUGGAAAAUUAUAGCACAUGUGUAAAAUUUUACAUGGACAGAAAUGCUGGAGCCAGAAAGAAAACGUCGGAAAUUAACGUCUGAAGAGGAGAUAAGAGAGCAGGAGGAAGGCGAGGAAGAAGACAAUGAGGAAGAUGAUGAGUCCACAGCUAGACCAGCCACAAGGCUAGAGGCUCAAAGAAUGCAGUCCAGCAAGCCAACCACUCGUGCAACUUCUAAAGGCAGCAGUCCCAGUUCAGUUUCUCCCAGAAAACAACAGAAACUAUCAGCAAAAAAGAGGUCACCAAGUGAUACAAAGAUUAACAAAUCUUCUCCAUCAACACAGCAAAAGGUGCAGUCUACGAAGCGUAAAAGAGAAGGCAGCCCAACAGCAGUACGGAGAAAAGGCCAGCAAAAAACAGAGGAGACACCAGUGAAGAAAGCAAAGCGAUAAUCUCUACCAGCUGGUGCUGUUGGUGGAGGAGUCAGAAGGAGGAAAAAAAUCUGUGCUUCUAUUUUUUUUAAAGCAAAGGGAUUUGCACGUGCUUCUUUCAGAGCUCUAAGUUAAUCGACGCAGUACUUUUAAGUUACAUUCUAAACAGCUUUAUAAACUAUUGUUUAUACAGAAUAUUAUGUACAUUUAUUUCAGAUGGAAAAAUAAGUUUACUUUGUAUCUGAAUGAGAAACAAAGCAGUUAUAUAUUUUAUCACUGACUUGGAAAGUUGGGGAUACCCAAUGUGACGUGCUAAUGCAGAUGCUUCCAACUCCUGAGACACCCCUGGCCUACUAAUACACUUUGUACAUAAACUUGUAAAAAUAGGUUGUAUUUUACUCUGUGUAUGAAUCUAAUCAACAACGGACAUCUUAUUUAUUAUAUGGAAAGCAUUGGUCUGUAAACUUUAGUAUAUACUGUAGGCUUUUUUAAUUAUAUAUUUUACAUUCUAUGCAGGCAUCGAUAGGUAACUUCACUCCCCUGGAGCUGUCUAAAAUCUGAAGUUCUCUGAAAUGCACCCAGUCCAUUGAGAAAACAUGGUUUUUUCGCAUGCACCGCAGUAGGUUGGCGUAGUGAAAGCAACUGGGCUCCUUUCUCUUCACACUUGAGACAAAGUAUGAAACUUAAAGUCUGAUCUUAAUAGAUUAUAUUUUUUCAUUUGUGGUUUUACUACCAACAUCAAGAAAUAAAACAGCUUUAGGUGAGGUUUAUUUGCAGCCAGCCAACUCUACCCUGACAUGGAGCAGCUUUGUUUUGCAACUAAGCAGCCGUUCUUUCAGUAUUUGUCUUUUUCAACAAGAGGGACCCAUUGAAAUGAAACAUCACUUCUCCUAUCUAUAGAGCUUCAGCAUUUUGUGUUACGUUUUAUACGCAGGUAUUAAAAAAUCGAACCUGGCAUUAUUGCCAGAAUCUUUUUUUAAUGUAUAUUAACUCUGGUAAGAGCAAAUGUUCAAGUGAAGUUGUAUAUAAAGUUCAACUUUUCUUAUGAUCAAAUGUGUCUCUUGUAACGAUGUGAUGAGUUGCCAAACAAUCUGAGAUUAUUUUAAGUGUUCUGUUCAUAUUCUGGUUUAUAAUUACAAAGAGUUCUGGGGGGGUUGGAAUUCUCCUUUUUAUUUCCAACCCCCUUUCUCUUUUGUGGGAUAAUUUGGGGUUUUUUUUUUUUGUUGGUUUUUGUUUGUUUUUGAACUUGUUGUAAGGCGGAUGUUUCCAUCAGAUAUUCUGCUUGGUUUCUUACUGAAACUUUUAUAUAAAAACUAUAAAAUGUUUGCCAAAA